rnacentral:rRNA from 1 species
AACGAACGCUGGCGGCAUGCCUAACACAUGCAAGUCGAACGAGACCUUCGGGUCUAGUGGCGCACGGGUGCGUAACGCGUGGGAAUCUGCCCUUGGGUUCGGAAUAACAGUUGGAAACGACUGCUAAUACCGGAUGAUGACGUAAGUCCAAAGAUUUAUCGCCCAAGGAUGAGCCCGCGUAGGAUUAGCUAGUUGGUGAGGUAAAGGCUCACCAAGGCGACGAUCCUUAGCUGGUCUGAGAGGAUGAUUAGCCACACUGGGACUGAGACACGGCCCAGACUCCUACGGGAGGCAGCAGUGGGGAAUAUUGGACAAUGGGCGAAAGCCUGAUCCAGCAAUGCCGCGUGAGUGAUGAAGGCCUUAGGGUUGUAAAGCUCUUUUACCCGGGAUGAUAAUGACAGUACCGGGAGAAUAAGCUCCGGCUAACUCCGUGCCAGCAGCCGCGGUAAU